rnacentral:rRNA from 1 species
UACGAGGGGGGCGAGCGUUGUUCGGAAUUAUUGGGCGUAAAGGGCGCGUAGGCGGUCGGAUAAGUCUUGUGUGAAAUCUUCGGGCUCAACUCGAAGUCUGCACAGGAAACUAUCUGGCUUGAGUGUGGGAGAGGUGAGUGGAAUUCCUGGUGUAGCGGUGAAAUGCGUAGAUAUCAGGAGGAACACCUGUGGCGAAGGCGGCUCACUGGACCACAACUGACGCUGAGGCGCGAAAGCUAGGGGAGCAAACAGG